CUCUAGUGAGACUGCCGGUGACAAACCGGAGGAAGGUGGGGAUGACGUCAAAUCAUCAUGCCCCUUAUGACCUGGGCUACACACGUGCUACAAUGGCGUAUACAACGAGUUGCCAACCCGCGAGGGUGAGCUAAUCUCUUAAAGUACGUCUCAGUUCGGAUUGUAGGCUGCAACUCGCCUACAUGAAGUCGGAAUCGCUAGUAAUCGCGGAUCAGCACGCCGCGGUGAAU
rnacentral:rRNA from 1 species